CCCUUAAACAGUCAAAUAUCAUUUCCUAAAAACAAUAAUUAUACCCCCGCCUAAUUAAUGGACUCUGCCUUUUGAAAAGACAUAUCACAAUCAAAAGUCCAUUUCCAAAUAUUUCCUUUCCCAAAACUAGAUCCUUAUGGCUUUUAGAAUCAAAAGCGUUCAACAUUGGCCAGAAAAUCACCACUAUUUAUUUUCUCCUCCUAACUCUUACUUUCCUUCACUACUGUUUUCCCCCAUCGAUAAGCAACCCAACAAUACCUUAAACCCGAUUUUCAUUUCACAGUACCAAAGAUACUCCCCCAACUGUUCCCCAUCGAUCUUUCUCCACCGCCUCCUCUAUAAAAUUCGACAACCCGUUAAGAAGAUAAGUAUUCAUUUCCCCCCUUAAUCCUUCAAUGGCCAAAAGAUGAGCCACUUGGUUCCCCUGCCUUUGAAUAUGUAAGAAUACACAGUUUUUAAAUCUCUUCCUCAAAGAGUUUAGAUCUAAGAUGCAAGCACCGAUGCAUGACUCAUCUUUCCUGUUUUCCGGUAGUUUCUUUAUCACUGUAAGCGAAUUGCCUUCGAUCACCACAUCUUGAAACUCCAAAUCAAUGCCCAAUCAGACUGCUUGGAGAUGUGUAAUAGCUUUCGCAGCAAACACAGUUGGGAAUGAGCUUGAAAAGCCCCAUCAAAAUUUAUCUUUAUGAAAGCGUCCUCUGGAUGCCUCCAUCUUACAAUCUCAACUCGAGUAAUAGCUUAAACCAACAUAGGAGAGAGCUCUUUAAGCUGGUUCUUCAUAUUUUUACUUCAUAUUAUUGGAAGAUUGGACGAUCGGAUCAGCACUCAAGUCACAUUAUCCAGCUUAUCUCGGUAGUUUUUGAAAUGUUAAAUAAGGUUUAUAUGGCAUGUAUAGGCUUUCGUACGGUCUUAGUCAAACUUUAGCUUAUGUAAAUAUUAUAAAUAAUAUUUUGUUUAUAUAAUCAUCUUAUAUAUUGGUAUGAGAAUAAUGUAUAAUUAUGAUGUUAGUAUAAGUGAUAUAUGUAUGUAUUUAAAUUGUAGUGAACUUGGGUUACUUUGUUAGGUAAUUAUUUAGGUAAGUUUGGAUGCUUAGUUGACAUGUUUUUAAGUUGUCAUUUGAGGUGCCUAAGGGAAUAUUGGUUGUAUGUGGUGAUAA